rnacentral:lncRNA from 1 species
AUAAAUGUUAAUGAUUUAAACUAUUUAAAGAUGAAUAGAAAAUAUAAAAGUUCAAUAAAAUUGAUGACUUAAUAUUUUUUCUUUCAUUUUUUAAUUAUUGAUUCUUUUUAUUUUGUAAUUGUUAAUUAUUCAUUUUUAUUCUUUAUUUGUAAUUUUAUUUAUUAAUUGUUGAAUGAUCUUUUGAAUACACUAAAAUAUAAAAAGUUAGUUGAUGAAUUUGCUUUAAAAUAAUAUUUCGAAAAAGAAUUUUUU